AAUGGUUUAUCGAGAAAAUCUAAAAAAUGAGGUACAUUUUAUUUCUUUACAACUCCUUUAUGAGGAAUAUUCUAUAAAUGCCGCUGGAUUUUUUGUGAUUAAUUACAAUAUUAUUGUAUCGAUGAUUGGUGCUCUUACAACGUAUACAGUUCUGUUAAUACAAUUGACUGGAUAAGAGUUUUAUCGGAAUAUGAU